GGGAGUGUAGCUCAGUUGGUAGAGCACUAGACUUUUAAUCUAGGUGUCGCGGGUUCAAAUCCCGCCACUCUCACCA
rnacentral:tRNA from 1 species